AAGCCCUGUGUCAAAAAAAAAAAAGAAGAAUGAAUAAUGGUUUGCUUUUUCUUUCCUCUUAGAUAUCAUGUUUGGGUAUUACUACAAAUGAAAGAAUGAAUGCCAGAAGAUAUAAGCACUUUAAAGUCACAACAACGUCUAUUGAAAGCCCAUUCAACCACGGAUGUGUAAGGAAUAUUAUAGACUUCUUUGAAUUUCGAUGCUGUGGCCUCUUUCGUCCUGUUAUCGUGGACUGGACCAGGCAGUAUACAAUAGAAUAUGACCAAAUAUCGGGAUCUGGGUACCAGCUGGUGUAGCAACAUCUUUAUCCUAUGAAGCAUAUUGCUGAGUGGUGCCUGAAAAUUGUGUCUGUCCGUGUCUCUCUCACACUCGAAUCCACAUCCUUUGAACAAGAGCAUGCUAUGUGUAGGGCUAACGGUGAAUUUUACAGUCUUUUUUUCAACACUUUUAUUAACAAAAGUAAACAUGGACAGAACACACUGCCAUUUCUGGGAAGAGUAAAGAUGAUAAAAAUAAUUUUAAUGGUUCUUAAUGUGGAAAUUCACAACAUACUCAACUUUUGGGUUUUGUUCUCACAGUAUUUUUCACAAAAAAGGUAAACUUACUCUGUUGACAGACAUGGUGUACUGAUCAGAAAUGUUCAGUUUUAACUAAAACUAAAUUUAUGUUAUUUGGCUAAAUGUUAUGAUGCAGUCUAGUAGGAGUAUUGCAUCUAAUUCCAGGAGCAUUGUUUUAAGUUGAUUGACUAGUAUUAUGUACAUUUUAGAAUGUACACAUAAAUACUGUGAUGAAUAUCAUGUGAUUGGGAUCUACUGUGAUGUUGUCUUCAAAGGCAGGAGAAAAUAAUGUUCACAAUAAAAUGUGCUAACAAUGUUUUGUUCCUAUCAGCUGUUGCAAAUGCUGAUAUAUUUCUAGUUCAGUGAAAUAAUUUGUAGUAACCUUGCUCUGAGGUUUUACGGUCUGAUAAUGAAACACUUGCAUGAGUAUAGUAAGUCAUGUUAUUUUGUUCAAAUUUAAAAGCCCUACUAAGUGCAUGAUACACCAC